AAUAAAUGUAGCCAUGAAUUUUCGCGCCUAACUUUGAUCGUCCAUCUUAUUUGAAAAUUUUUUUAUAAUAAGUAUUUUUGUUGUUAUAAGAUGAUUACUUUACUCGUGACUUAUGUUUUAAAUUUUUCUAUUUUUUUUUCAAAUAAGACGAAUGGUCAAGUUGAGCGCGGAAAACCAUGGCUGCACUUAUU
rfam:Oryza glumipatula chromosome 1, whole genome shotgun sequence.